CGUAGGUGAUGGAAAGCAGGUUAAUAUUCCUGCACCAGCAUGGCUAACGACGAAUGCAGGAGGGACGGAGGAGGGUAGCUGAGCCGAAACGUGGAUUGUUCGGUUCAAACCAGUAGGAUGUCACUCUAGGACCCCAAGUGGGACAAACGGAGUGGCGCGUAUCCGAGAGGUCAUGAGGAGAGGCCCUAGGCCUCACGAACUCAGUAAUCCCACACUUCCAAGAAAAGCUCCGGCAGGAGUGGCUGUGCUGACCGUACCGCAAACCGACACAGGUGGGCGGGGAGAAUAUCCCAAGGCGCUUGAGAGAAGCCUCUCUAAGGAACUUGCAAAUUGACACCGUAACUUCGGGAGAAGGUGUGCCAGCGGUACGUAAAGGGACUUGCUCCCUGCGCGGAAGCUGGUUGCAGAGAAACGGGGGUAGCGACUGUUUACCAAAAACCCAGCACUCUGCUAAGUCGCAAGACGACGUAUAGGGUGUGAUGCCUGCCCGGUGCCGGAAGGUUAAGAGGAGUUGUCAGCCGCAAGGCAAAGCAACGAAUCGAAGCCCCGGUAAACGGCGGCCGUAACAAUAACGGUCCUAAGGUAGCGAAAUUCCUUGUCGGGUAAGUUCCGACCUGCACGAAUGGCAUAACGACUUCCCCACUGUCUCGGAGAGGCCCUCAGCGAACUAGCACUAGGGGUGAAGAUACCCUUUACCCGCGGCAGGACGGAAAGACCCCGUGAACCUUUACUGCAACUUGACACUGAUUCUCGGGUUAGUUUGCGUAGGAUAGGUGGGAGGCAGUGAAACCGGGACCCUGGUCUCGGUGGAGCCAACCUUGAAAUACCACCCUGGCUAACCUAAGAAUCUAACUCGCUCCCGUGAUCCGGGAGGGGGACAAUGUCUGGUGGGCAGUUUGACUGGGGCGGUCGCCUCCAAAAGAGUAACGGAGGCGCGCGAAGGUUCCCUCAGCCUGAUUGGAAACCAGGCGAAGAGUGUAAUGGCAUAAGGGAGCUUGACUGCGAGACAAACAAGUCGAGCAGGUGCGAAAGCAGGUCAUAGUGAUCCGGUGGCCCCUCGUGGAAGGGCCAUCGCUCAACGGAUAAAAGGUACUCCGGGGAUAACAGGCUUAUCACGCCCAAGAGUUCACAUCGACGGCGUGGUUUGGCACCUCGAUGUCGGCUCAUCGCAUCCUGGGGCUGAAGUAGGUCCCAAGGGUUUGGCUGUUCGCCAAUUAAAGCGGUACGCGAGCUGGGUUCAAAACGUCGUGAGACAGUUUGGUCCCUAUCCGCCGUGGGCGCAGGAAACUUGAGAGUAGCUGUCCUUAGUACGAGAGGACCGGGAUGGACGGACCUCUGGUGUUCCGGUUGUCACGCCAGUGGCAUUGCCGGGUAGCUAUGUCCGGAACGGAUAACCGCUGAAAGCAUCUAAGCGGGAAGCCAACCUCAAGAUUAAGUUUCCCCAGGGCGCAAGCCCUCUAAAGGCCCCUUGUAGACCACGAGGUAAUAGGCCGGGUGUAGAAGCGCAGCAAUGCGUGGAGCUAACCGGUACUAAUCGGCCGUGAGGCUUGACCGU
rnacentral:rRNA from 1 species